rnacentral:lncRNA from 1 species
GCCAUAGAUCCAUUGCGUGCAGGAUGCUACAUGACGCACACCACAUGACAACUGGAUGCUACGUGACGCACACCACAUGAUGACUAAGUGAGCUUUGGGACCAGCAAGAAGGCUCAGUAGGGAAAGGCGCCUGCUGCCAAACUUGACAACCUAAGUUUGAAUCCCAGGGGUCCAAGUAGGGAAGGUCAAAACUGACUGGACACACUCUGUAGCAUAAGACCACCUUCCAAAAAAUGCAAUUUAUGGGGGCUGGGAGGCUGAGCUUUGAAUCAGGGCACGGAGAUGCUCACCAGCUCCUCUGCUUCCUAGCUCUUUGAUGGAGGUUAAGUCAGCCUUGGUCUCAAUUUCUGCAGGUGUAAGAGGAGAAAAGCAGCAGGACCCACAGAGUGGGGAUCUAAGGAAAAUUGAGUCCCUUAUGAGUAUAGAAUGGGUAAAUGUUCAAAUGCAGGCCAGGAACCAGUCAUAAAAUGCAAUGAUGGCUGCAUUCAUUAAGCAUCGCCAUAAGAUUCUUCAACGAAGUUCAAGCUCUAUGUGAAAAGUUUUGUGAAAUAUAUCAAAUAACUUAUGUGCCUUUGGAAACACGGGAGUUUAAAUAUAAAUAAAUCAUUUUGUGAUGACU